rnacentral:rRNA from 1 species
AGUGAACGCUGGCGGUAGGCCUAACACAUGCAAGUCGAACGGCAGCACAGUAAGAGCUUGCUCUUACGGGUGGCGAGUGGCGGACGGGUGAGGAAUACAUCGGCAUCUACUUUUUCGUGGGGGAUAACGUAGGGAAACUUACGCUAAUACCGCAUACGACCUACGGGUGAAAGCAGGGGAUCUUCGGACCUUGCGCGAUUGAAUUAGCCGAUGUCGGAUUAGCUAGUUGGCGGGGUAAAGGCCCACCAAGGCGACGAUCCGUAGCUGGUCUGAGAGGAUGAUCAGCCACACUGGAACUGAGACACGGUCCAGACUCCUACGGGAGGCAGCAGUGGGGAAUAUUGGACAAUGGGCGCAAGCCUGAUCCAGCAAUACCGCGUGGGUGAAGAAGGCCUUCGGGUUGUAAAGCCCUUUUGUUGGGAAAGAAAAGCAGCAGGUUAAUACCCCGCUGUUCUGACGGUACCCAAAGAAUAAGCACCGGCUAACUUCGUG